UGUAAUUACAGCUCUGACCUGCUGCUUCUUCCGAUGUGCCUGCAUGCUUCCAGGCUCACCGUCCAGCCUCAUCCUCCACAUUGGGAGUCCUCCUGUUUAUUUCUCUGUCUGUUUGCUGUGUGUCCCGGACCCACUUGGACUCUCCUCUUUCAUCUCGCCUCCAACCUCAGACAAGCCAGGAGUUUCCCCGUCCAGACACAACCUACAUUGCAUCUCUGAGUACACUCUGUUCAUUAAGGCUGAAUCUAAUUUCUCUAUCUUACCCCUACUGCUUACCCCUUCCCCUAGGUUUUGCACAUUCACGUGAGACCUAGUGCUUCCCAAUUUUUUUUUUGAUUAAGGGCUAGGGCUAAGACGAAGGGGUGUAUACCCCUUCAAACCAAGUGAGGACGCAAGCUUACUUGUAGAC